rnacentral:sRNA from 1 species
GCUGAGUAUGGUGUUGCACAUUUGUAAUCCUAGCCGCUUGGGAGGCUGAGGCAGGAGGAUCUUGAGUUCAGAGCCAGCCUCAGCAACUAAGCAAGGCCCUAAGCAACUCAACAAGACCCUGUCUCUA